rnacentral:lncRNA from 1 species
AAAAAAAAAAACCAAAAAAAAAAAAAAACAACUUUUUUUUGGUACUAGGGAUUGAACCCAGGGUCACUUUAACCAUUGAGCCAAAUCCCUACCCCUUUUUUAAUUUUCAUUUUGAGAUAGGGUCCCACUAAGUUGCUUAGGGCCUCAGUAAAUUACUAAAGGUGGCUUGGAACUUGGGAUCCUCCUGCCUCAGCCUCCCCAAUACCUAGGACUACAGGCAUGUGCCAUCACUGCCUAGCUCUUUCCUUAGCUCUUAAAUUCAACUUGCAAAUUCGUCUAUUAUUUGUAAAUUUUAAUAAUAAGCGCUUCAAGAGGACUUUUUAUGUUUUUAAACUGCCUUAGACUGCAUUGACAAAUUCUAUUUUCUUAAGUACUUAAUGUUUGAUUAAUAAGCAAUAUCUCUGAGUACUUAAAUUCUAAAUCUAGUAUACUUUCAGAGAAUCUUAAAUUCUUUUAAAAGCCCAGAUAGUCUUCAUAAGCAUCAUUAAGAUUCUCUAUCUUUUAAGACUAAUCUGAUAAAUAUAUCCUAUGAUAGGUCCAGUUUUCUUAACCAUCAUAAUUUAACAUACACAGAUCAUUCCUAAGCCUAAUGCUAACAUGGUAAUAGUAUAGGCUACAAAAAUAAAGAGUAUAGAAUACAAAAUCAGUUCUGUAAUUUUAUAUAUUCCUUGGAUUAAAAACUAUAACCCCCUGGUAAAAACUGUCAUCCCAAGCAUGUUAGAAUUGCAUCACAGGCACUGAUUUACCUACCAUUCAGAGCUUCCCAAAUGGGAUGAUCUUGCCCACAUCUCUCAUAUUAAAAUUACAAAUAACCUAUUUUUUAAAAUUUAUUGCCAAGAUUGUAGGUAGCUUUCAUCACAACUUAGUUGGUUUUGUUUAUUUUUGGAUACUCAAUGGUCAACCAAUUGGAACCUUCACCUCUUUCGUUCUGUGACUUAGUUCUCUUAGUCUGCAAACUCUCAAGUCACACCAGCAAAUGGAAUCUAAUUAUUCAUGCCACAAAAGAAGCAAAUGUUUUAAAAAUAGAUAUGUAAGAAUUGUGUAAUCCAUCAAUCUUUUAUUAAUACAUGUUUUCAACUGUUAAUUUUUUUAAAAUAUUUAUUUUUUUAGUUGUAGUUGGACACAAUACCUUUAUUUAUUUUUAUUUAUUUAACUAUUUAUUUUUAUGUGGUUUUGGGGAUCAAACCCAGGGCCUCAC